UGUAAGUGUUUGGGUGAGGCAUUUUGUCUGAAUAUAGUCAUGGACUUACUUCUUAUUUCCACACAGGAUAAAACCAAGAAUGAUUAAGCCUUCCCCCAGUAUGACAAUGGAUCACAAGACCCUGGGGUAAGUUUUGGAAGACGUUGUUUCCUUAGCUGGGAUCCCAAAAGUGAUUUCAAAAAUUGAAUUGGCUCUGACGGCCUGGAUGGACAGCAGAGGGGUCAACCUGUUUGAAAUCAGAAAUGCUGAGUUAAUAACUAAAGAGGCAAGUAAAACCAUUUUUAU